CCACCGAGGUUUACUACCUUCUUCGACAUCCCCCUCUUUCCCGCUUAUCUUCGAUCUCCAAAUUUGGAGUGUGCUCUACCACUUCGCUAGCAGCGAUCUUCUCCUCGCCACCGGUGUCGUCGGAGGGAUCUUUCCGACGCGCCUUUCGCUUUCUCUUCCCUCUCGUUUCUCUUACACCCAAGAAAACACACCCUACAUCUCUAGCCGCUACCUCCGCCAAUGUCGAUCGGGGUCCGCGAGUUGUCUGUCCUGGGCGAGUUCAAGCCGUUCGGUCUUUCGGUCGAGGAUCUCGACGGCAAGCCACUCGACGACGCUUCCUCGGAGCACCAGUACUUCCUCUUCCACCCGGAAGUCGCGCGUGAGGGGCACGGGACCGCCAGCAACCUCGACUUCUCCUCCCCUUGUACACCUUCCGAAGGAGAUCAUGAGAUUUUCAUACGCGGCAACCAGAUAAUAUGGAGCAGUGGGCCCCAGGUUCAUAAAAGAUACACCUCCACCAAAGCAGUCAUUAUGGUCUGUUGGUGUCACAUGGAGGGUAUUUCAGAUGCACUCCUCUGUGUUUUACAGAGUGAUGUGUUAUCUAUUUAUGGCGUGUCUGGUGAGGUUGUUUGCAUUCCUAUCCCAUCUCCCAUUGCAUCUAUAUUUCCUCUUCCAUUUGGCUUACUUCUACAGAAGUCAGUAGAUGGGAACCAUCGGAUGUCUUCCUUGGGCUCAGUUCUAGGUGCAACAGAUAUAUCUCGUUUUGGUAAAGAUUUUGUUCGGAAUUACCAAAUUUCCGGUCAACCAUUUGAACUGGUCAGAGAGAAUGAGGUUACCGUCUCAUCACAUUUGAUUCUAAAACAUCCACUUGAAGAGCCUCAGGCAACCUACAUUGAAGAAAGGGGGAAGUUUGUCUCCAUGAAAGAUUUGGAAGAAAGAACCAUUUGGAGCAGUGAUGUUGUACCUUUGAUGGCAUCAUAUCAUAGAAGCAAGAUGCAACAUUCUGUUUGGCUUGUAGAAAUCAUAAAUCGUUCUGAGGCUGAAGUUGCUGGGAUUGAUGUGGUAGCAGCUGAAUUAUCUACUAAACAAUUCUCCUUUCGGAGGAUAUGGCAGGGAAAACGCGCCCAGUAUGCUGCUAAUAAGGUGUUUCUCGCCACUGAUAUGGAUGGAGUUCCUGUUCUUUGUUUUUUACAUGCUGACCAAAAAAUACUCCUUGCUAUAAGGCUCCAAAUUGAUGAAGGUUAUGAUGACGCCCCCAUAGACAUUAAACCGCAAACCAGUUGGAUAAUUCCUGCUCUUUCUGCUGCUUCUGUUAAUGUGACACGGCCCAGAGUUAAAGUUGGGAGGUUACCAUUUAAUGACAUUAUUGUCUUGGGUGCUGAAAAUAGUCUUCUUUUAUAUUCUGGCAAACAAUGCCUUUGCAGGUUCUUCUUGCCUAAUGGUUCGGGGAGGGGCAUUUUACCUAUGAAGCAUAUUGCACGAACAACAGAUAUGCUCUAUGAUCUAAAGAUUACAGGAUUAAAAGAUGCUGUUGAAGGUCGCAUUAAUGUUAUUGUAAAUAAUGGACAGAUAUUCAGAUGUUCUUUGCGCACAAACCCCACUUCCUCUUUAGCAACCGACUGUAUAACAGCUAUGGCGGAGGGAUUGCAUUUUACCUUUUAUAGCCAUUUCGCCAGUCUCCUUUGGGGUGACCACAGUCAUUCAGAAUGGGAGGCCUUCACUGGUACAAUAAUGAGGAUCUGCAGUAGAUUCAGAGCUGGAACACCGAAACAAUAUCCCUCUUUAGCGCCUCACACAGCUUGGGAUUUUUUACUCGAUAGCAAUUUUCACAAGUGUUACCUCAAACAGUCAUUUGGACAUGGAAUCUCUCUCAAGAACUUCCCAAGUUGUAAUGGCGUUGACCAUAAUGAUUCACAGAAACUAGACAAAGAAAAUGAGAGAUUUUAUUCUCAGCUUUUGGCUGGAACUUUGGAGUUCUUGCAUGCACUUUAUGAGAGUUUGAAACUGGAUAACUUGCGAAAACAAGAUGUGAGGCAGCUGGUUUCACUAUUAAAUGCUAUGGCUGCUUCUUUGGGCGAGUCAAAUUAUGUUGAUCACUAUGUUCGUGACUUUCCCUUUCUUUUAGCUGAAGGCUUUCCUUUCCAGUCCUGUGCUUCUCCAAGAACUCCUCCAUCUAUAUUCCAAUGGAUUGAAAAUUGUAUGCAGAAGGGAUGCUACACUUCCAACAUGAAUAACCUCCCCUCUUUGCUUUUCAGAGAGAAAAUCUUUAUUGUGAGUUGGGCCAGAAAGAUUGUGUCAUUCUAUAGUUUACUUUUAGGUGCAGAAAGGGAAGGUAGGAAGCUCUCAACUGGAGUGCAUUGUGAAAUUGCUAGUGGAUCAGCAAAAACACGAGAGGAAUUAACAGUCUUGGCUAUGGCUGGGGAAAGAUUUGGACGCCAACAACUUGACUUGCUACCUCUUGGCGUAUCUCUUCCUCUGCGUCAUGCUCUGGACAAUUGCCGAGAAUCCCCUCCAACUGAUUGGCCUGCUUCUGCAUAUGUUCUUGUUGGCCGUGAGGACUUGGCUCUAGCAUCUUUGAGAUCCCUGAGCAAAGAAACUGAGUCUCAAAGCACUACGAACUUAGUGUCCAUAUCUGUGCCAUACAUGCUUCAUUUGCAGCCUGUUUCUCUACCCUCAUCUCUUGCUGAGAUAAAUGGAUUAGAUAGUAUGAAGCUUGAGGACUUAGACUCGGCUCAUAAAUCUUUUGAAGAUGGCAUGGAACAUAUCUUCAAUUCUAGCACCCAAAUGCGGUUCGGCCAUGAUUUAAGGUUGAAUGAGGUUAGACGCCUGUUAUGCUCCUCAAGGCCUGUGGCUAUGGAAACGUCUACUAAUCUUAGUGCUUCUGAUCAGGACCUGCAACAGCAUCAACUUUGGAAUCUUGCACAAAGGACUACAGCUCUCCCAUUUGGUCGUGGAGCAUUCACUUUAGCCACUACCUAUGCUCUGUUGACUGAGGCUCUUUGUGUUCCCAAGCUUAUUUUGGCUGGCAGAUUACCCGCACAGCAAAAUGCUACCGUAAAUCUAGACCCUAGUUCAAGGAAUAUUUCAGAACUCAGAUCUUGGCCUGAGUUUCAUAAUGGUGUUGCUUCUGGAUUAAGGUUGGCACCCUUUGAGGGUAAGAUGUCCAGAACAUGGAUUCAAUAUAACAAACCUGAGGAACCAAACUUCACUCAUGCUGGCAUUCUUCUAGCAUUUGGUCUUCAUGGACAUUUAAGUGCUUUAUCUAUGGCAGACGUGUAUCGGUACUUAACUCAGGAACAUGAUAUUACUACAGUCGGAAUGCUUCUAGGUAUGGCAGCAUCUUAUCGUGGAACAAUGCAUCUUGAAGUAUCAAAGAUGCUAUACCUCCAUGUUCCCUCUCGACACCAGUUGUCUUUUCCUGAGUUGGAACUGCCAACAAGUUUGCAGUCUGCUGCUUUGGUGGCCAUUGGCCUUCUCUACGAAGGUUCAGCACACCCAUUCACCAUGAAGAUUCUUUUGGGUGAGAUUGGUCGAAGAAGUGCUGGUGACAAUGUGCUUGAAAGAGAAGGAUAUGCUGUUGCUGCUGGAUAUGCUCUGGGACUUGUAGCUUUAGGUCGAGGAAAUGAUGCCCUUGGCUUUGUAGACCGAUUUGUGGAUCGAAUUUUCCAGUAUAUUGGCGAGAAAGGAGUUAAAAAUGAGAAAUUUUCAGUAGUUGCACAACCAGCAGAAGAUCAUGUCCGUAUUCUUGGGCAGAUAGUGGAUGGAGCCCAUGUAAAUGUUGAUGUGACAGCUCCUGGUGGUACAAUUGCACUCGCUCUGAUAUUUAUGAAGACAGAAUCAGAAGAAAUUGUGUCUAGACUCCGUCUGCCCAUUAGCCACUAUGAUCUGCAGUAUGUUAGGCCUGACUUCAUCAUGCUUCGUGUCAUUGCACGUAAUUUGAUUAUGUGGAGCAACAUGCAACCAUCUAUUAUUUGGAUUGAAUCUCAAAUUCCUGAUUUUAUCCGAUUAGCGGUCCUGAAAUUAGAUGGAGCUAGUAGUGAUGAUGAUGAGUUCGAUGCAGAAGCUAUUGUCCAGGCAUAUGUGAACAUUGUAUCCGGUGCUUGCAUUUCACUUGGAUUGAAGUAUGCUGGCACCAAAAGUGAAGAGGCUCGGGAGCUGCUUUAUAAUUAUGCUCUAUACUUUCUUAAUGAGUUUAAGCACAUUCCAGCAAUGGCUAAUGUCUUACCAAAGGAAUUGCUGCAUUAUGUGGAUCGCGGGACAUCAGAAAUAUGUUUGCAUCUGAUUAUUCUCUCUCUCUCUCUGGUUAUGGCAGGAUCAGGGCAUUUGCAAACAUUUCGAUUAUUGAGAUACUUGCGUGGUCGAGGUUCUACAGAAGGACAAAUAAAUUAUGGAACACAAAUGGCUGUUAGCUUAGCCAUUGGUUUUUUAUUCCUUGGUGGUGGCAUGCAAACCUUUUCAACUGGAAACAGUGCUGUUGCUGCACUGUUGAUUACUCUUUAUCCUCGUUUUCCUACAGGUCCGAAUGACAAUCGUUGCCACCUUCAGGCCCUACGGCAUUUGUAUGUAAUUGCUGCUGAAUCUCGUCGGCUGCAGACAGUGGAUGUUGAUACAGGUCUUCCGGUAUAUUGUCCAAUUGAAAUUACAAUCAAAGAGACAGAACAUUAUGCUGAGUCCAGCUAUUGCGAAGUUACUCCUUGCAUUCUUCCAGAACGUUGUGUGCUGAAGACUGUUCACAUUUGUGGGCCUAGAUAUUGGCCUCAAGUCAUACAAGUUAUACCUGAAGAAAAACCUUGGUGGAGAUUUGAGGAUAAGAGUGACCCUUUUAAUGGUGGUAUCUUAUAUGUUAAGAGAAAAGUUGGCUCCUGUUCCUACGAGGAUGACCCCAUUGGUUGUCAGUCUUUGCUUUCAAGAGCAAUGCAUAAGGUUUUUGAUAUGACGGAUUUGGACUAUGCAAACAUGAGAAACAGCAAUAACCCUGUACCUGAUUCAUACAAAAUGGAUCAAUUGGUUAGCACAUUUUCUGGUGAUCCAAGCUUGAUUGCUUUUGCUCAACUUUGCUGUGACUCCUGGAGGAGCAGGUCAGAUCCCAAUUUCCAGGAGUUUUGCUCACAAUUAAUAUUUGAAUGUGUGAGCAAAGACAGGCCAGCUCUUCUUCAGAUCUAUCUCUCAUUAUAUGCUUUGAUUGAGUCAAUGUGGAAGCAGGCUAACAACAGCCAUCUUAUUUUCGAAGAUUCACUUUUCCUUUCUAGUAUAAAGCUUACUUUAGCUUACAAUGAAUCUCUUGUCACUGGCAAACUGUCUUCUCCAAUUGGAUCUAUUGUUCAAUGUGCAUUCAUUCAGUCAGUUCGGAAGCACAUAGAUGAAAUUUUGACCUGUUCAAAAAGUCUUAGUGAGAACUUCUUCAAUUAUUUGGAGACGGGAAAGUGGCCUGAUUAUCAAAGUGAUAGGGGUAAAUCAGAUGCAAUGUUUCUUUCUUGGUACCUGCUCUGGUAUGGGAUACCAUCAUCUCAUCUUGUGAAGUCAGCUGUUAAAAAUAUCAAAUCGAAGGCUCCAAUGUCCUUAUCUAUGGUUCCUCUCUUGCAAUUAUUGUUUCCAUCAACUCAAACAAAAGGAAUUUUUGAAAUCAACAAGUUUCAUUACUCGUCAUAGCAGGAGAAUCAUACAAUUGAAGUAAAAAAACAUCAUCUUGUGCGAUCUCUUCAGAGACUGAAGCAGGUUGUCUUUAACUCCGAUCUAAUUUUGACCGAAAUGACAUGGAUUUGACAACUACCAGAGAAGAUGGCAUACCACUUAGCGGACCUUUUCAUGCAAAUCUUUUUGGAGUGGUUCUCUCUUUGCUGGAAAUCUACGACGACCAAGAAACUACAUGACAGGUUAUUGUUAAGUUUCUGGGUCCUUUUCUGACACAUUCUGGCAAUCAAUGUCUCAUAUGGAGACGUUAUUUAACAACUGUUGGGGGUACCAAGUUCUUGUUGAGUUGCUAUUCUGCCUCGAAAACCUGCUUUGAAUUCUAGAAUGAACACCUGUGAGCCAGGAGUGAAUGAGGUGAGGUUGUCUUUCAUAUUUUUGGCUGACAAGCAGAUGAAUUGUAACACUUACAAGUAAUUGCCAAGGAAGAUGAAUUGUAUUUAAUUUUAAAUUAAUUGUAAAAGAUAUUAUAAAGGUUAUUUAGUUUAUACAGUCGUGAUAAGGCUCCAAAAGACAUUCUUCAAAUUUCAAAGAAUUUCAGUUAAUUGUA